GGGCUUGUGGUUUAGUGGUAUAAUACCUCUUUAGCAGUUGAGCAUCUGCUCUCUUAGCAUAGAGGUGGUCCGGGGUUCGAUUCCCCGCGAGUCCA